UCUGCCCGGUAGUGGGGGAUAACCUGGGGAAACCCAGGCUAAUACCGCAUACGUCCUACGGGAGAAAGCAGGGGAUCUUCGGACCUUGCGCUAUCGGAUGAGCCUAUGUCGGAUUAGCUUGUUGGUGAGGUAACGGCUCACCAAGGCGACGAUCCGUAGCUGGUCUGAGAGGAUGAUCAGCCACAUCGGGACUGAGACACGGCCCGAACUCCUACGGGAGGCAGCAGUGGGGAAUAUUGGACAAUGGGCGAAAGCCUGAUCCAGCCAUGCCGCGUGUGUGAAGAAGGCUUUCGGGUUGUAAAGCACUUUCAGUGAGGAAGAAAGCCUUGGGGCUAAUACCCCCAAGGGACGACAUCACUCACAGAAGAAGCACCGGCUAACUCCGUGCCAGCAGCCGCGGUAAUACGGAGGGUGCAAGCGUUAAUCGGAAUUACUGGGCGUAAAGCGCGCGUAGGCGGCCUGAUAAGCCGGUUGUGAAAGCCCCGGGCUCAACCUGGGAACGGCAUCCGGAACUGUCAGGCUAGAGUGCAGGAGAGGAAGGUAGAAUUCCC
rnacentral:rRNA from 1 species